CAGAAAUGCUACAGCUAAAACAGUACAUCUCCAAAGUGCUUGUGCCUUUUGUGCAAGUAAUUCUACAGUUUGUUUAACAGAGUGAUUGUUGAUU